rnacentral:rRNA from 1 species
GAGUUUGAUCCUGGCUCAGAAUCAACGCUGGCGGCGUGCCUAACACAUGCAAGUCGAACGCGAAGAUCCCGCAAGGGAUUUGUAGAGUGGCAAACGGGUGAGUAACACGUGGGUGACCUGC